rfam:Enterobius vermicularis genome assembly, scaffold: EVEC_scaffold0004257
GCCGGGUUAGCUCAGUGGCAGAGCGUCUGUCUCGUAAACAGAAGGUCGCAGGUUCGAACCCUGCAUUCGGCA